UGGGGGAUAUUGCACAAUGGGCGAAAGCCUGAUGCAGUGACGCCGCGUGGGGGAUGAAGGCCUUCGGGUUGUAAACUUCUUUUGCUCUGAACAAGGCGCACCAUGGGGUGUGUUGAGUGUAGGGGUUGAUUAGCGCCGGCUAACUACGUGCCAGCAGCCGCGGUAAUACGUAGGGCGCGAGCGUUGUCCGGAAUUAUUGGGCGUAAAGGGCUUGUAGGUGGCUGGUUGCGUCUGUCGUGAAAGCUCAUGGCUUAACUGUGGGUUUGCGGUGGGUACGGGCUGGCUUGAGUGCAGUAGGGGAGGCUGGAAUUCCUGGUGUAGCGGUGGAAUGCGCAGAUAUCAGGAGGAAUACCGGUGGCGAAGGCGGGUCUCUGGGCUGUUACUGACACUGAGGAGCGAAAGCAUGGGGAGCGAACAGG
rnacentral:rRNA from 1 species